rnacentral:rRNA from 1 species
UACGAAGGGGGCUAGCGUUGUUCGGAAUUACUGGGCGUAAAGCGCACGUAGGCGGGUCUGUAAGUAGGGGGUGAAAUCCCAGGGCUCAACCCUGGAACUGCCUUCUAGACUGCAGGCCUUGAGGUCAGGAGAGGCGAGUGGAAUACCGAGUGUAGAGGUGAAAUUCGUAGAUAUUCGGUGGAACACCAGUGGCGAAGGCGACUCGCUGGACUGAUACUGACGCUGAGGUGCGAAAGCGUGGGGAGCAAACAGG